rnacentral:rRNA from 1 species
AGGACGAACGCUGGCGGCGUGCUUAACACAUGCAAGUCGAACGGAAAGGUCUCUUCGGAGAUACUCGAGUGGCGAACGGGUGAGUAACACGUGGGUAAUCUGCCCUGCACUUCGGGAUAAGCCUGGGAAACUGGGUCUAAUACCGAAUAGGACCAUAAGGCGCAUGCCUAUUGGUGGAAAGCUUUUGCGGUGUGGGAUGGGCCCGCGGCCUAUCAGCUUGUUGGUGGGGUGACGGCCUACCAAGGCGACGACGGGUAGCCGGCCUGAGAGGGCGACCGGCCACACUGGGACUGAGACACGGCCCAGACUCCUACGGGAGGCAGCAGUGGGGAAUAUUGCGCAAUGGGCGAAAGCCUGACGCAGCGACGCCGCGUGGGGGAUGAAGGCCUUCGGGUUGUAAACCCCUUUCAGCAGGGACGAAGCGAAAGUGACGGUACCUGCAGAAGAAGCGCCGGCUAACUACGUGCCAGCAGCCGC